AGUGAACGCUGGCGGUAGGCCUAACACAUGCAAGUCGAACGCCAUUACAUUAAGAGCUUGCUCUUACGGGUGGCGAGUGGCUUACUUGUGAGUAAUACAUCUGCCUCUACUUUUUCGUGGUCCAUCACGUAGGGAAACUUACGCUCCUUCCGCAUACUUCCUACGGUUGUUAGCAUUUUAUCUUCGUACCUUGCUCGCUUUUAUGCGUCGAUUUCGGUUUCGAUAGUUUGCGGGGUAAAGGCCCACCAAGGCUACGUUCCGUAGCUGGUCUGAGAGGAUGAGCAGCCACACUGGAAGUGAGCCACGGUCCAGACGCCUACGGGAGGAAGCAGUGGGGAAUAGUGGAAAAUGGGAGGAAGCCUGACCUAGCCAUAACGCGUGGGUGAAGAAGGAAUUCGGGUUGUAAAGCCCUAUUGUUGGGAAAGAAAAGCAGCAGGUUAAUACCGCGCUGUUAUGACAGUACCCAAAGAAUAAGCACCGGCUAACUUCGUG
rnacentral:rRNA from 1 species